AUCUUCUUGGUUAUUCUUCUACACAUUUGUUUUGCUUAUUCUCUUAAUAAAUGCUAUCACUAUUUUUCUUUGGAUGGAUAUUACUAACAAGCUAAGCACUAAAAGUAGGCUUUGAAGUGAAGGGUUACUUGCCUCAGAAUGAUGUUUGUGUCUGCAUAGAUGCUCUUAAAUUUGUGAAGCAACAAUUCUUUGGAUGUAGGGUUUCUAAUAGUGGGGGGUUAAUGUGUUGAAUACUUGUCUGAUCAGUUGAGAGGCUCUUGUCCUGGCACAAAAAAAGUACCUGGUUUAGCAGGAAAUGUAGUGGGAAGAGCUUGUUGUGUCUAGCCAGAAGAUUGGCUUUUGCUGUUACUGUAUAUGCUUUUUGGCUGGAAGGGAAUUUGACUGUGUUUCAGCAAGGUCAUUAUAGUGAGCAGAGAAUCACAUACAAGUACUGUUUGUCCUGAUUUCAUCAAGCAGACACAAGGAUUCAAAAUUACAGUUGGUUCUCUUUGCCAUGAGGAAGCUUGGUAGAUUGAGGGCUGCAAUCAUCUCUUGGAAACUCUGUCAAGGACGGUUCAGUUUCUAACUGAUGAAAUCACUCUUGCUUGGAAUCUCAAGGAGGACCUAAAAGGGCUGCAAGAAUCCUUGACCAUGGCAUGUGCUCCAAGAUGCUGAGAAGCAACAGACAGAAAGGGAGUCCAUCAGGAUUUGGCUGAAGAAGCUCAUAGAUGUUGCUUAUGAAGCAGAAGAUGUGUUUGAUGAGUUAGCCUAUGAGGAUUUCCGCGAAAAUUUGAGAUUCAAGAUCCACAUGAAAAGCAGGUGAUGCUACUAUGAAGCAUAAAAAGUCUCUGUCAGUUGCCUCUUUGGCCUGCCUAUGUCCACUAGACUUAAUCUAGGCAAUAAUGAGCAUCUUUCUGCAAAUUGUAUAUGGUUGGCUAGCCGGCAUUUAGUCACAAAGGCAUACAGUGACAAUUCAGUGUCCAACAACAGAGGUUGAGCUUCCAGGGUGCUCAAAGGGUAAUUUACCACUUCACAUAUUUUUUAUUUAUAUAUUCUGUAUUGUCCCAUAAAUAAUUGUCUUAAGUUCCUCAAGCCAAGAAAUAUUUGGUAAUCUUACUGGCCCAAGUAGUUGCAGAGGAAAUACAGAUAGUCCAUAUAACAGAAUUGGGAUUUCAGAAUCAAACUGUUCUUGCUGUUCUGCGGGGAACAAAUUCAAGAAAAUGACACGUUUGUAGAUGAAGAGAAGCAUAUAAAAAAAAAAAGAAAAAAAAACAUGGUGUCCAGCAAAGGGUUUCUCAGGAAGAAAGACUAAAGGCAUAUUCAAUUCCCUGCCUGUGGGAAAGAACAAGUAGGCAUGCUGAAAGGUGCAAAGAAUCAAGGAAGCAUAAGCCUGAUGGUCAGUGUCAAGAGAUAGCCAAGUACAAAUGUCGAAAUAUAUGGAUAGUGGCAGAAACGGUAAUGCACUAUCUCAAUUUUUUAUUGUAUGGUGACAGAAAGAAUACUACUUUUGAUUGGAUCGCUCAGGAUACGAGAUUCCAUGGCUUGAUGUAACUGAUCCAUCCUAAACCACCAGACUAUUAGUACCGAAGGCUGUGGUCUUGAGUUUGAGAGCUCCUCACUUCAAAUAUGGUUGUUUGUUCUUUAUAUUUAAAAGAAAAAACUCCUUUCUUUUUCGUUUAACAUGUGAACAUCUUCUUUCCUUUCAGAUAAGAAUGUAAAUCACGUCAGAUUUUUGUAUCUAUAUGAGGAUCGGAGGCAGUAGCCCUACAUGGAAAAA